CAUAGGGUACUUAGAAGUACCUUUUGGGUACACAUCCUGUACGGUACAAAAAAGUACCUUAUUCAAGUCAAAGGGUACACUUCCUGUGGGGUACUAAGAAGUACUUUUCAAGUUACAGGGUACACAAUCCUCUGGGGUAGCAGCUACUUAUGCGUGCCUUUUCUAAGACUGAUAGAGCCUUUGUCAUAAUUUGUAAAUGUGGUAUGCUGAAUAAUCCUCUGUGAUAAGUGCAUAAUUAUUAUCACUAUCAGUUUUCGUAAGUAUUUCCAUUUGUUUCUGCUAAGGGAUUAUUUACAGAUUUAUACUCGAUUUUUAUAAUUAUUAUCAUUAUUGUUUUCAUUUAAAUAAUUGUUGCAUAUAUUUUGGGUUCUAUAAUAAGCACUAUUGGUUCAAAUUAAUUCAAUAUAUAUUAUUAUAGUUAAGAUGGAUGUGUGUGCUUGUUUGUGCGGGCGUGGGCGCGGGCGCGGCAUUGCGCGCAUUUAGAGAAGGAGUUCUCGCGAUACGUUUCAUUCAAGAAAAAGCAACGCUGAUGAUCGCGUCGCUUAAACUUGUUGAUUAAUAUCAUCCUUUACAGGUCAGUGGUCACGCCUCAUUAUUUCACUCGGCACGGCAGUCGCUGGAGCCUGCAGGACGCUUGACAGCUCAACAACUUCAUCCUCAGAUGAGCUGAUCCAAACAUGACAGAAGGUGGUGUAACUAUGACAGAAGUUGAAGCACAGAAAUUCAGAGGGUGAACACAACACACCAUACCCAAUUGUCCAGGUGACCCAAGAAGACUGGAAGUCCACAUUUGAGGGACGAAGCUCCUGUUCCCUUAAGGUAGACAGGGUCGAGGUGUGUGAAGGCAUGAAGGUAGAGGAAGCCAUGAUCUUCUCGUUUUAUUCAUAUUUUGUUUUCAAUCUUGAAUACCAACCCAAAAACCAGAACACUCUGACCUUCCUCCAGCGAUGUAUUGCGAAAAUGCCAUCCAAGAUAUCCAUGUCUUUCUUUCCUCAGUGGGAGAGAAAUUAU